UACAGAGGUCUCGAGCGUUAGGCGGAAUCACUGGGCUUAAAGCGUGUGUAGGUGGAUGCCUAAGUACCUUGUGAAAUCCCACAGCUUAACUGUGGAACUGCUUGGUAUACUGGGUGUCUUGAGUCACUCAGGGGCGAGCGGAACAAAUGGUGGAGCGGUGAAAUGCGUAGAUAUCAUUUGGAACGUCAAUGGUGAAAACAGCUCGCUGGGGGUGCACUGACACUGAGACACGAAAGCCAGGGGAGCGAACGGG
rnacentral:rRNA from 1 species